UAAGAUUUGAAAUGAAAAUGGCGGAUUGUAUGCAGUUUAAUGUGUGGGCUGAAAAAGAUGUAGUGCAAACCAAGUCGGUGGUUUAUUAAAAUUUU